rnacentral:rRNA from 1 species
AGCUCCAAUAGCGUAUAUUAAAGUUGUUGCAGUUAAAAAGCUCGUAGUUGGAUUUCUGGUUGAAGCGACCGGUCGGGCGUUGAUUCGUCUGCACUGGAGUCGGUUUUGGCCAUCCUCUAGGAAAGUGCGUCUGGUAUUAAGUUAUCGGGCGUAUGAUCCUGGUCUUUUACUGUGAAAAAAUUAGAGUGUUUAAAGCAGGCCUUCGCCUUGAAUACAUUAGCAUGGAAUAAUAAGAUAGGACUUUGGUCUAUUUUGUUGGUUUGCAGACCGAAGUAAUGAUUAAUAGGGAUAGUUGGGGGUAUUUAUAUUCCGAUGUCAGAGGUGAAAUUCUUAGAUUUUCGGAAGAUAAACUUAUGCGAAAGCAUUUACCAAGGAUGUUUUCAUUAAUCAAGAACGAAAG